rnacentral:piRNA from 1 species
GAAAACUGGGCCUGUUUCAAUGUUUAUUUUA